GACGGGGGGGGCAAGUGUUCUUCGGAAUGACUGGGCGUAAAGGGCACGUAGGCGGUGAAUCGGGUUGAAAGUGAAAGUCGCCAAAAACUGGCGGAAUGCUCUCGAAACCAAUUCACUUGGGUGAGACAGAGGAGAGUGGAAUUUCGUGUGUAGGGGUGAAAUCCGCAAAUCUACGAAGGAAGGCCAAAAGCGAAGGCAGCUCUCUGGGUCCCUACCGACGCUGGGGUGCGAAAGCACGGGGAGCGAACAGG
rnacentral:rRNA from 1 species